rnacentral:rRNA from 1 species
UACCAGCACCCCGAGUGGUCGGGACGUUUAUUGGGCCUAAAGCAUCCGUAGCCGGUUCUACAAGUCUUCCGUUAAAUCCAACUGCUUAACAGGUGGGCUGCGGAAGAUACUAUAGAGCUAGGAGGCGGGAGAGGCAAGCGGUACUCGAUGGGUAGGGGUAAAAUCCGUUGAUCCAUUGAAGACCACCAGUGGCGAAGGCGGCAUCCUGGACCGGUAUUGACGCUGAUGCGCGAAAGCCAGGGGAGCAAACGGG